rnacentral:rRNA from 1 species
UACGGGGGGAGCAAGCGUUGUUCGGAAUUACUGGGCGUAAAGGGCGCGUAGGCGGCCUUCUAAGUCGAACGUGAAAUCCCCGGGCUCAACCCGGGAACUGCGUCCGAUACUGGAAGGCUUGAAUCCGGGAGAGGGAUGCGGAAUUCCAGGUGUAGCGGUGAAAUGCGUAGAGAUCGGAAAGAACACCAACGGCGAAAGCACUCUGCUGGGCCGACACUGACACUGAGAGACGAAAGCUAGGGGAGCGAAUGGG